rnacentral:rRNA from 1 species
UACGUAGGGGGCAAGCGUUGUCCGGAUUCACUGGGCGUAAAGGGCGCGUAGGCGGUUCACUCAGUCGGGCUUGUAAGUGCGGGGCUCACCCCCGUGAUGGGCUCGGGACGGGUGUGACUGGGGCGCGGGUAGAGGGAGACGGAAUGCCGGGUGUAGUGGUGAAAUGCGUAGAGAUCCGGCGGAACACCGGUGGCGAAGGCGGUCUCCUGGGCCGAUACUGACGCUGGAGGAGCGAAAGCGUGGGGAGCGAACAG